GGAGUUGUGGCUCAGUGGUAGAGCACUCGCCUAGCAUGUGUGAGGCCCUGGGUUUGAUCCUCAGCACCA
rnacentral:tRNA from 1 species